rnacentral:lncRNA from 1 species
CCAUGCACAUUAUCUACAAAACAAAUAUAAGAAGACUCUGAAAGAUGGAGAAGAAGGCAGACCAGCUGGGGACAUGACGGGCUAAGGAAAAAACAGUGCAAGGGAAUGGGGCCGUAUUGGUGUGCAUCCCUAAUGCCUAGCACAGAGCCCAGCAUCCAAGAGGUACUCAUGUAUUUGUGGAAUAAAUCAAUGAAUGAAAGAACUCCCCAUCCAAUACCUUUUACUGUGGGACUACACCCCUAUGGACUGGAGCACAGAAUGGCUUAAAGGUGGGGAAAAGAAUGGUUUACAGGUGGCAAAGCAGAGGACCAGGGCUUAAAGAAAACAAACAGAAAAUGGCUACGAGGGAGUUGGGAGUGUUUCAGAACCAAAUCUCUGCCUCUUUCAGUUUCUGCCUAUCAAGCCCCAAACAUGGAACAGCCCGUAGUUCAACGUGUCAACAUGUGACUAUUGAAUCUGGAAACUCAAACACAUACUUUCGUUUCUGGUAAGGCUACACUCCUAUUUGAGGCUUAUCUUGUAAUGCUUGAGCCACCACAAUGUAACUGAAGUAGGAAAGCGUCUCAUUUCAGAACCACAAGCAAACACUGACACACAUCGUCCUUUACACCAAAGGGCUGUGGAUCUGGAGCUCCCAUGGCCUGUGAUUGUGCCCCACCACCGUUUGAAGCCUGGAGCAACAUACCUCAAAUCCAGCUUUAGAUCCAGGUGAAGGCUCUGGAAAAUAUAAUUCCAUGGACACUUUCAGUU